ensembl:lncRNA
UUUUUUAUUGGUCGGCAUGAAAAAAAACAUAAGGGGCAACACUGUUGUUUUUUAUUGGUCGUAAUGAAAAAUAAAACAUAAGGGGUAACACUGUUGUUUUUUAUUGGUCGGCAAAAAAAAAAACAUAAGGGGUAACACUGUCGUUUUUUAUUGGUCGUCAUGAAAAAAAACAUAAGGGGGUAACAGUGUCGUUUUUUAUUGGUCGUCAUGAAAAAAAACAUAAGGGGUAACACUGUUGUUUUUUAUUGGUCGUCAUGAAAAAAAAACAUAAGGGGUAACACUGUUGUUUUUUAUUGGUCGUCAUGAAAAAAAACAUAAGGGGUAACACUGUCGUUUUUUAUUGGUCGUCAUGAAAAAAAACAUAAGGGGUAACACUGUCGUUUUUUAUUGGUCGUCAUGAAAAAAAACAUAAGGGGGGUAACACUGUUGUUUUUUAUUGGUCGG